AUGAACGCUGGCGGCGUGCUUAACACAUGCAAGUCGAACGGAAAGGCUCCUGCUUGCAGGGGUACUCGAGUGGCGAACGGGUGAGUAACACGUGGGUGAUCUGCCCUGCACUUCGGGAUAAGCCUGGGAAACUGGGUCUAAUACCGGAUAGGACGAUGGUUUGGAUGCCAUUGUGGAAAGUUUUUCGGUGUGGGAUGAGCUCGCGGCCUAUCGGCUUGUUGGUGGGGUAAUGGCCUACCAAGGCGUCGACGGGUAGCCGGCCUGAGAGGGUGUACGGCCACAUUGGGACUGAGAUACGGCCCAGACUCCUACGGGAGGCAGCAGUGGGGAAUAUUGCACAAUGGGCGCAAGCCUGAUGCAGCGACGCCGCGUGGGGGAUGACGGCCUUCGGGUUGUAAACUCCUUUCGCUAGGGACGAAGCGCAAGUGACGGUACCUGGAGAAGAAGCACCGGCUAACUACGUG
rnacentral:rRNA from 1 species